GUCGUGCGAGAAAGUACCCUUCGGGGUGCGAGUAGAGCGGCAAACGGGUGAGUAACACGUAAGUAACCUACCUCUAAAUCUGGAAUAACUCUGCCAACGCGGAGCUAAUACCGGAUGUGGUCACGAUGCUGCAUGGUAUUGUGACUAAAGGUGACCUCUCCUUGGGAAGUUACCGUUUAGAGAUGGGCUUGCGGACCAUUAGCUAGUUGGUGAGGUAACGGCUCACCAAGGCUACGAUGGAUAGCCGGCCUAAGAGGGUGAUCGGCCACAUUGGGACUGAGAUACGGCCCAGACUCCUACGGGAGGCAACAGUAGGGAAUUUUGCGCAAUGGACGAAAGUCUGACGCAGAAAACACCGCGUGAGGGAUGACGGCCUACGGGUUGUAAACCUCUGUUGAGUGGGAAGAAAAGCUCUGUGGUUCAUAUCCAAAGAGUCUGACGGUACCACUAGAGGAAGCUCACGGCCAAUUACGUGCCAGCAGACAGAGUGUAAUACGUAAGGGGAUAAAGUAGUUCGGAAUCACUGGGCGUAAAGGGAGUGUAGCCGGACCGGUAAGUUAGGAGUUAAAUGUACGGGCUCAACCCGUGAUCUGCUUUGAAUACUGUCGGUCUUGAGUUUGGGAGAGGGAGAUGGAAUUCCAGGUGUANCGGUGGAAUGCGUAGAUAUCUGGAAGAACACCAGUUGCGAAGNCGGUCUCCUGGACCAAUACUGACGCUGAUGCUCGAAAGCUGGGGGAGCGAACAGGAUUAGAUACCCUGGUAGUCCCAGCCGUAAACGAUGGACACUAGUUGCCGGAGGAGUCAAUCCCUUCGGUGACGAAGCUAACGCAUUAAGUGUCCCGCCUGGGGAGUACGCUCGCAAGGGUGAAACUCAAAGGAAUUGACGGGGGCCCGCACAAGCGGUGGAGCAUGUGCUUUAAUUCGAUGCAACGCGAAGAACCUUACCUGGGUUUGACAUGGGGGUGAAAGUUUCCAGAGAUGGAAGCCUUUCCUUCGGGAACACCCCACACAGGUGCUGCAUGGUUGUCGUCAGCUCGUGUCGUGAGAUGUUGGGUUAAGUCCCGCAACGAGCGCAACCCCUGCCCUUAGUUGCCAUCAGGUAAAGCUGGGAACUCUAAGGGGACAGCUUGGUAUAACCAGGAGGAAGGUGGGGAUGACGUCAAAUCAUCAUGGCUCUUACGCCCAGGGCUAGACACGUGCUACAAUGGCAGGUACAGUGGGAUGCCAGCCUGCGAAGGUGAGCUAAUCCCUUAAAACCUGUCUCAGUCCGGAUUGGAGUCUGCGACUCGACUCCAUGAAGUUGGAAUCGCUAGUAAUCGCGGAUCAGCAUGCCGCGGUGAAUACGUUCCCGGGCCUUGUACACACCGCCCGUCAAGCCAUGAAAGGCGGUAGUACCCGAAGUCGCGUACCCAACCGUAAGGAGGGAAGCGCCGAAG
rnacentral:rRNA from 1 species